rnacentral:rRNA from 1 species
CCUACGGGAUGCAGCAGUGAGGAAUAUUGGUCAAUGGCCGGAAGGCUGAACCAGCCAAGCCGCGUGAAGGACGAAGGUGCCAAGCAUUGUAAACUUCUUUUGUCAAGGGACAAAAUCAGGCUCGAGAGCCUGACCGCGGGUACUUGAAGAAAAAGCAUCGGCUAACUCCGUGCCAGCAGCCGCGGUAAUACGGAGGAUGCGAGCGUUAUCCGGAUUUCUGGGGGUUAAAGGGUGCGUAGGCGGACUGUUAAGGCAGCGUGAAAGGCCCGGGGCUCAACCCCGGCGAGCCGUUGAAACUGUCUGUCUUGAGAUGUGGAGAGGUAUGCGGAAUGCGCAGUGUAGCGGUGAAAUGCUUAGAUAUUGCGCAGAACACCGAUUGCGAAGGCAGCAUACCGGCGGCGAUCUGACGCUGAGGCACGAAAGCGUGGGUAUCGAACAGGAGUAGAUACCCCAGUAGUC